rnacentral:rRNA from 1 species
UAACACGUGGGCAACCUGCCCUGGAGCGGGGGAUAACAUCUGGAAACAGGUGCUAAUACCGCAUAACAACGAAAACCACAUGGUUUUCGUUUCAAAGAUGGUUUCGGCUAUCACUUCAGGAUGGGCCCGCGGUGCAUUAGCUAGUUGGUAAGGUAACGGCUUACCAAGGCAAUGAUGCAUAGCCGAGUUGAGAGACUGAUCGGCCACAAUGGAACUGAGACACGGUCCAUACUCCUACGGGAGGCAGCAGCU